AGAGUUUGAUCAUGGCUCAGGAUGAACGCUGGCGGCGUGCCUAACACAUGCAAGUCGUACGAGCUCGAUCUUCGGAACGGGUUAGUGGCGCACGGGUGAGUAACACGUAGGUGACCUACCCCAGAGUGGGGGAUAACUUCUCGAAAGAGAGGCUAAUACCGCAUACACUCGGUCAUUCAUUUGGCCGAGCAAAGCUCUGGCGCUUUGGGACGGGCCUGCGUCCGAUUAGCUAGUUGGUAGGGUAAUGGCUUACCAAGGCUUUGAUCGGUAGCUGGUCCGAGAGGACGAUCAGCCACACUGGCACUGACACACGGGCCAGACUCCUACGGGAGGCAGCAGUGAGGAAUAUUGGGCAAUGGGCGAAAGCCUGACCCAGCAACGCCGCGUGAGGGAUGAGGGCCUUCGGGUUGUAAACCUCUUUUCUGGGAGAAGAGACAAGGACGGUAUCCCAGGAAUAAGUCUCGGCUAACUACGUG
rnacentral:rRNA from 1 species